UCCCGCCCGGAACAAGGAGCCGGUAUCAGGCACAGUCUACACCAGCCCAUGACACCUUGCUUAGCCACACCCUCAAGGGACUUCAGCAGUGAUAAACAUUAAGCUAUAAGUGAAAACUUGACUUAGUUAAAGCUAAAAGAGCCGGUAAAACUCGUGCCAGCCACCGCGGUUAUACGAGAGGCUCAAGUUGACAGACAACGGCGUAAAGAGUGGUUAAGGAACUUAUUAAACUAAAGCCGAACGCCAUCAGAACUGUUAUACGUUUCCGAAGGUAAGAAGCCCCACCACGAAAGUGACUUUAUUUUCCCCGACUCCACGAAAGCUGCGUAACAAACUGGGAUUAGAUACCCCACUAUGCCCAGCCCUAAACUUUGAUAGAUCAUUACACCCACUAUCCGCCAGGGUACUACGAGCAUUAGCUUAAAACCCAAAGGACUUGGCGGUGCUUUACAUCCACCUAGAGGAGCCUGUUCUAGAACCGAUAACCCCCGUUAAACCUCACCCUCCCUUGUUUUUUCC
rnacentral:rRNA from 1 species